AUUGAACGCUGGCGGCAUGCCUAACACAUGCAAGUCGAGCGGAUGAAGGGAGCUUGCUCCUGGAUUCAGCGGCGGACGGGUGAGUAAUGCCUAGGAAUCUGCCUGGUAUUUGGGGAUAACGUCCGGAAACGGGCGCUAAUACCGCAUACGUCCUGAUGUAGAAAGGGGGGGAUCUUUGGACCACACGCGAUCAGAUGAGCCUAGGUCGGAUUAGCUAGCUGGUGGGGUAAGGGCCUACCAAGGCGACGAUCCGUAACUGGCCUGAGAGGCUGAUCAGUCACACUGGAACUGAGACACGGUCCAGACUCCUACGGGAGGCAGCAGUGGGGAAUAUUGCACAAUGGGCGAAAGCCUGACCCAGCAAUGCCGCGUGUGUGAAGAAGGUCUUCGGAUCGUAAAGCACUUUUAGUAGGGAAGAACAGCAGUAAGUGAAUAUAUUGCUGUCUUGACGGUACCAAAACAAUAAGCCACGGCUAACUUCGUG
rnacentral:rRNA from 1 species